UUUUUCCAGAGAACUUUCCGGGCUCGGAUUGGCCGCGCCGGUCGAUGUUCCGCCCUUUCAUUGGCCCGCGGCGCCCGCUUUCGCGAGCCUGCCCUUGGGCGGGGGCGGGGCCGGCGGCGGCGCGCGGCGCUAGAUUGGUUAGCGGCGCAGAGGGGCGGGCCCGCGCCGCGCGCAGCGCUCGGGCUGGAGCGCCUGAAGCCGCGACCGCCGCCUCAGCCGCCUCAGCCGCGGUCGCCGCCGCUUCUGCCGACUUAGGCUCCGCCGCCGCCUCCUCACCCGCCUCGCCCCGACCCCGCCCGGGCCUCCCGGCCUCUCCCCGCCGGCCCGUGGGCUCGCCGUCCGGCGCAGGGCAGGACUGUCUACGAGAGAGAAGCUCCCCACGUGGUUCCGUAUGGACAGUGUGUCACCCUCGGGGAGCAGGUGGGCUGGCAGGACAGGCGGCCCCAGGCCGGGAGAAGGAGACACUCCCAGACAGCACAAGUCAGUCUUCUGGUGAUUGUAACAGGAUGGUCACCUGA
ensembl:lincRNA